GAAGACUUUGUGUUCACAUCUGCACCCGGCAGCCUGAAGGAAUGUGAACCAAAGCGUGCAACGUGGUGUGUGUGUGACCUCCUCUUCUAGCAAGCCAUGUCUUGGCCAGCAUCCUUUCCCUCUGGCCAGUGAGUCAAUGAGAGUAUUUACGGAAAACUAAAGAAGAAGAAGAAGCGAGCCGGGAAGGAAGUCAAAGGACAUGCAUAUUGUUUGACUGGAAAAAUAGGAGUGUCUUCAACCAUAGCCCAAAUGAAAAGCAACGACAGAAAUUCUGUCCUCAUAAAAUAAAAACUUUCCACAGCGACAUUUCUUCUCCACGCUGAGAAAUUAAGUUUGAAAACUGACGUAAAUAUUGGUAAUGGUGCUUUGAUGAGAUUGAAUCCCUGUGAGUGAGGUUAAUGCAUUAGAAACUAUGAUGAAAAAUAAACAUAUCUAAGCUGACAGUGAAGGGAGAGUAACCAGAGUCCUCUGGUUGGUCACAGACACAAGUUUGCAAACUCAGUUUGGUCGUGGAGAAGAAGGGUAUUUGGUCCAGAAUAAUAGUUUCCCAAAGAAAUCAGGAGCUUAAAGCAAUGAAGUGGAUGAAAUGAUGCCGAUGAAAGGGGUGAAACUGGACAUCCUCGCCAGCCACUGCCCAGCUUGAGGACAUCUGCGGUGGAGCACUACAGACGCCAUGUUGGCCAGAAUGUCCCUCUCCAGAGUGGCAGGAGCACUGAAUUGGACGUGUUGAGGGCACGCUGCAGAGUACACCCUGUGCUAUCGCUGCUCCAGGUGACUUUGAUAUCACUGGAUGCAGUCAGUGCAGGAAAGAGCUGGUGAACAGUAUGGCGUGCUACAUUUUUCUUGAGUAAAAUUGUCCAGACUUUGCUUAAAAAAUAAACUAUCAUUUUAAGAGCAACAUAAGAGGUCAAAAAACGUAAUUAUAAUAAAACCAGAACCAACAAGCAACUAUAAACCAGAGACUUUCUGCAGGGGCGGCUGGGGG